rnacentral:rRNA from 1 species
UACGGAGGGGGCGAGCGUUAUUCGGAAUCAUUGGGCGUAAAGGGCGCGUAGGCGGCUUUGUAAGUCUUGGGUGAAAGCCCUCGGCUCAACCGAGGAAUUGCCUUGGAUACUGUUUGGCUUGAGUUUGGUAGAGGUUGGUGGAACUGCGAGUGUAGAGGUGAAAUUCGUAGAUAUCAAGAGGAACACCUGAGGUGAAGACGGGUUGCUGGGCUGACACUGACGCUGAGGCGCGAAAGCCAGGGGAGCAAACGGG